rnacentral:rRNA from 1 species
UGGGGAAUAUUGGACAAUGGGCGAAAGCCUGAUCCAACCAUGCCGCGUGUGUGAAGAAGGUCUUCGGAUUGUAAAGCACUUUAAGUUGGGAGGAAGGGCAGUAAGCGAAUACCUUGCUGUUUUGACGUUACCGACAGAAUAAGCACCGGCUAACUCUGUGCCAGCAGCCGCGGUAAUACAGAGGGUGCAAGCGUUAAUCGGAAUUACUGGGCGUAAAGCGCGCGUAGGUGGUUCGUUAAGUUGAAUGUGAAAGCCCCGGGCUCAACCUGGGAACUGCAUCCAAAACUGGCGAGCUAGAGUAGGGCAGAGGGUGGUGGAAUUUCCUGUGUAGCGGAGAAAUGCGUAGAUAUAGGAAGGAACACCAGUGGCGAAGGCGACCACCUGGGCUCAUACUGACACUGAGGUGCGAAAGCGUGGGGAGCAAACAGG